CUCUAUCUGCUAUGCCACUGAGCUGCUUCCAACCUUUUCAAAUAUCAAAUUUUCCUGAAUAUGGAACUUAUACAGUUCUUAGAUGCCAUCCAGUUCAGCCCUGUCACUUACAGAGAAGAAAACUGAGACUUACUAAAGUUAAGAAACUUGCCCAACAUCAAACAGGUUGCCUUGGAUUUCAUUAGCCUGUCCACAUGCCCUUGCUGCUAAUUUUGCAAAAACAAAGAGCAACCCUUGCAUUCUUCUGCUCAUUGUGGCAUUAUUUCUCUUUGUGUGAGCAUCACUACAGCAUCUAGCCAAACAAUUGCUUCUAGGAUCUGGGUGGGUGCUCAGUGAAAGAGCCCAAAGCCCAUGUCAUAAUCAGAUUCUUCUGAUAGAAAAAGGUGCACCUCCCUCCAACCCCAGGAAGCCAGCUUACUGCUCACUAGCAGAUCAUGGUCCUCAAUGCUUUUACUGCUGAACUUGUGGAUGACCUUGAGAUGCUCCUCAUCUACCUCGAUUCCAAGGCUCUGUCUAGGACUAGGACUCUUCAGGUCCUUGGCUUUGGGGAAGUCAUUGCUGCCAAGGACAGCCAAAAGUUUCAGAUUUCAUGGAUUGUUUUCAGAAGGAUUAUUGAAGAAAAAUGAGGUGUCACACACAUACAGAGAAAAUAUAUGGCAUCUCUGGGUUCAAGGUCAGAAAUUCCAGACAAAUCAUCUACUCAUCUCUGUGGUGACUGUACAGGUACAGAAAUCCAUUGUCUUAACAGUAGGUUCUCUUGACAAGGAAAUAUAUUAAAUGUUACACCAAUGUACAAUUGAGUAUACUAAGAAAUACAUGUAUAAA